UUAAUUGUUUAUUACAAUCUGUAGUAGUCUACUUGUUGUUGAAGUCAAUGAGCUCAUCAUAGAUAUCAGUAUUAAAAUUUUGUACGCCAGAUGCAUGUUUGUCUACAAAACCCCCAUCAGUGAUGCUUGAAUCAAAAGAGAUAAAAAGGCAAAAAUAAAAGAAGUUGAAGACCAUUGUGAGUUUGGUAGGUUUAUAUUUACAUUGAAUGUCAAACAGUUUAAGACUAGUUGCAUGUUAACAAAAUGUGCCUUUUAAACAAAUACCUAUAUAUUUGAAUAUGUGAAACACCCAAUCUGAUUCAAAAACAGAUCAUGUAAGCAAAGCAUGGACAUACGCUCUGUAUUUUAAUCCAAUUGUGAAACACCCAAAAUAAAAUGUGAUCAAUACAUGAAGUUAAAAUAGGAAAUGGACAUCUUUACUUCCUGUACAAGAAUCUGUAGAAGUUCAGUGGGUUUAUGUUGAUCAUGAGUGAGGAUAAUGACCGGUGGUUCAAACAAAAGGCCAUGAUGCAAAACAACAACCUAUUAAUGCUGCUUUUGUUUCAAUGAUAAGAAAAUAAAAGGACCUGUAAUUUAAACCAUUUUUUUACUAAUAGAUAUCUACGUACAAUGAACUGCUACCAGCACACAGAAAUAUUAUAUCUCAAAGACAUAUAUAAUACCUGUAGUUAAAUCCCUGAAACAGGAGAUAGAAAACACAACUGAUCUGAUAAAUCAUUGUAUCGUCUUUAAACCUUUAAUAUAUACAUGUAUUAGAGGCAAAAUUCUCAGGGCCGAUAUUGUUACAACUCUCUAUUACCUUAAAACUGACAUAAUAAAUCUUCCCACAGAUCUUGUAACAAUUUUUCUUCUAUUUUCAUGGGUUUUUUCAAUGUAAAAAUUAGAAUUUCUCAUAAACAUGUAUGAAUGAAUGAUUUACAAAUAAAAGCCCAAAAUGUUUUUUCUUUAACUUCUGCAUAUAUAUUGUCACAAUACUGUACACAGACAUAUUAUUCAAAUGCCACAAAUAUUUGUUUCAGGAUUGCCGUCAUCAUAAUAAACUGUUUAGACUGAAAAUGUUUUGUGCAUUAUUUCUCAUAUCUGCUGGGAAGUAGGUGCAAAAGCAUAUGUUGUAGAACAGCCAAACCUAGUUUGGUAGGCGUGUGUCAAAUGGUUUACCAUGUGCACCUUCUAUUAGCAAAAUUUUGCCUGAAGCAUUUUGUGCAUAGCCUUAAAUUAUUACUCCUCCAACUUUGUAUAAUUGUUAUUCAUGUUAAUAUUUUCAUUGUACAUAUUCCUUUGCUCGUUCCACGUUACACAUAUGUAUGUUCUUAUUGGAUUUUUGUCCUGAGCAUGCAUGAAAUAUUUGCCACUGGACGUAAAGCAACAAACAAUCAAUCAAUCUUAUUGGAUUAGUGUGUCUUGUUUGCAAUGCUGCUAUUGGAUUUAAGGCCAUUAAAUUAAUUUGAUUUAUUUUGAUAUGGAGUUUAAAUUACAAAAUGUACAAAUGCACAGUUGUUCCGUAACUAUGAUUUUACUGACUUCUAAAGUUUGAAGGAUGAAAUUUUUAAGACUUACAUACAGUUCCUUGUGUAGUCCUUUUUUAAACUUACUAAGUUCUUUUCUAGACACACAACGUUCUUUUCUUAACUUACAGAUCAGUUCUGCAAAUGGACGUUACGCAACCAACAAUCAAUCAAUCUUUUGUAGAGGUUUACAUGUAUCUCUAGCUUCAUGAAUAAUAUAAAAUUUUAAUAAUUCUGACAAAAGAAAGCAAUAGUCUAGUAAGGUAAAAGUUUGUUAAAGAGGGCCUGACAGCAUUGUGAAGGUCAUCUUAGUAUUGUGAUAAACCAAAUUAAACUCAAUGUUUGAAAAUAUAAACAAGGAGUAACUAAGUUAAUCUGAUUAGUUAAUUGAAUCUUACUGAUAGUUUGUAACUCAACCCACUUUAAUAUUAGUUGUUAGAUGUAAUAGUAAUUUUAAAUUGAUAAUAAUCUUCAUGGUUUGUGACGAACUGUAUUUCCAGGAAACUAUAAAUUGAGAAAUUAUUGCUGAUGUUUUUAUAAAUGUGAAUAAAAUGCUCCGCUGGGUGCAGCUUGAUACGACCGCAGAGGUCGAACCCUGAACAGUUGGGGCAAGUAUGGACACAACAUUCAAGCUUGAUACAGCUCUGAAUUUGGAUUGUGAUUAAAUAUUUGACACAGCAUAGGUUUCUGACACAGAAUGAAUGUGGUCUAAGAACUUAAAAAUUUUAAAUUGGACAUUCACCUAUUAUGGUCCAAUAUCCAAAAUCUAAAUACAUGGUUAGAUUCAGCAUAUCAAAGAACCCCAAGAAUUCAAUUUAUGAUGAAAUCAAACAAAGUUUAAUUUUGGACCCUUUUGACCUCAAUGUGGACAAAGUUGAUAACGGGGCCCAAAAAUCAAAAAUCUAAAUACAUGGUUAGAUUCAGCAUAUCAAAGAACCCCAUAUAUUCAAUUUUUGUUGAAAUCAAACAAAGUUUAAUUUUGGACCCCGAUUUGGACCAACUUGAAAACUGGGCCCAUAAUCAAAAAUCUAAAUACAUGUUUAGAUUCAGCAUAUCAAAGAACCCUAAAAAUUCAAUUUUUGUUAAAAUCAAACUAAGUUUAAUUUUGGACCCUUUGGACCUUUAUGUAGACCAAUUUGAAAACGGAACCAAAAAUUAAGAAUCCAAAUACACGGUUAGAUUCGGCAUAUCAAAGAACCCCAAUAAUUCAAUUUUUGAUGAAAUCAAACAAAGUUAAAUUUUGGACCCUUUGGACUUCAAUGUGGACCAAUUUAAAAACGGGGCCCAAAAUCCAAAAACUUAAUACACGGUUAGAUUCAGCAUAUUACAGAACCCCAUAUAUUCAAUUUUUGUUGAAAUCAAACAAAGUUUAAUUUGGACCAACUUGAAAACUGGGCCCAUAAUCAAAAAUCUAAAUACAUGGUUAGAUUCAGCAUAUCAAAGAACCCCAUAUAUUCAAUUUUUGUUGAAAUCAAACAAAGUUUAAUUUUGGACCCCGAUUUGGACCAACUUGAAAUCUGGGCCCAUAAUCAAAAAUCUAAAUACAUGGUUAGAUUCAGCAUAUCAAAGAACCCCAUAUAUUCAAUUUUUGAUGAAAUCAAACAAAGUUUAAUUUUGGACCCUUUUGAUCUCAAUGUGGACAAAGUUGAUAACGGGGCCCAACAAUCAAAAAUCUAAAUACAUGGUUAGAUUCAGCAUAUCAAAGAACCCCAUAUAUUCAAUUUUUGUUGAAAUCAAACAAAGUUUAAUUUUGGACCCCGAUUUGGACCAACUUGAAAACUGGGCCCAUAAUCAAAAAUCUAAAUACAUGGUUAGAUUCAGCAUAUCAAAGAACCCCAUAUAUUCAAUUUUUGUUGAAAUCAAACAAAGUUUAAUUUUGGACCCCGAUUUGGACCAACUCGAAAACUGGGCCCAUAAUCAAAAAUCUAAAUACAUGGUUAGAUUCAGCAUAUCAAAGAACCCCAUAUAUUCAAUUUUUGUUGAAAUCAAACUAAGUUUAAUUUUGGACCCUUUGGAACUUUAUGUAGACCAAUUUGAAAACAGAACCAAAAAUUAAGAAUCUAAAUACACGGUUAGAUUCGGCAUAUCAAAGAACCCCAAUAAUUCAAUUUUUGAUGAAAUCAAACAAAGUAAAAUUUUGGACCCUUUGGACCUCAAUGUGGACCAAUUUAAAAACGGGGCCCAAAAUCCAAAAACUUAAUACACGGUUAGAUUCAGCAUAUUAAAGAACCCCAAGAAUUCAAGAAUAAAACCCCAUUGAAAUUGAUCAAGAAAUAAGCAAUUUAUACGAAGUAUCUUCUUUUGCACAAUACUGUGCAAUUGAUUAUUUCUUGCUAUUGCGCAAUACUGUACAAUUGACAAUUUCUUGCUAUUGCGCAAUAUUGUGCUAUUGGAUAUUUCUUGCUAUUGCACAAUACUGUGCAAUUGAAGAUUUCUUGCUAUUGCGCAAUACUGUGCAAUUGAAGAUUUCUUGCUAUUGUGCAAUACUGUGCAAUUGAAAAUUUCUUGCUAUUGCACAAUACUUAUUAUAUAAUAAUUUACACAUCCUGUUUGGUGUGUAUCUCCUACCAUAUCAUUAUUAUUUGCUUUUAAAUAUAAAUCAGAAAUAACCAACUUAAAAUGGAAAAUUUUAAAAGAAAAAAAAAAGGAAAAAAUGAAAAAAAAAAAAGAAAAAAAAAAAUCCCCCCCCAAAAUUUUUUGAACCCCCUUAUGAUUCAUCACCCCCAAACUCAAUCUCAGCCUUCCCUUUGUGGUAUGGUACCUUGCAGUACAAUUUCAGAGAGAUCCAUACACUUGAACACAAGUUAUUGUCUGGAAACUAGAAAAAUGCUUAUUUUUGGCCCCUUUUUGGCCCCCAAUUCCUAAACGUUUCGGGCAAUUACCCCCAAACUCAAUUCCAGCUUUCCCUUUGUGAUAUGGAACCUUGUAGUACAAUUUCAGAAAUAUCCAAACACUUACACACAAGUUAUUGUCAUGAAACUAGAAAAAUGCUUGUUUUUUGCCCCUUUUUUGGCCCCUAAUUCCUAACAUUUUGAGGCAAUUACCCCCAAAAUCAAUUACAGCCUUCCCUUUGUGAUAUGGAACCUUGUGGUACAAUGUCAGAGAGAUCCAUACACUUACACACAAGUUAUUGUCUGGAAGUUACAAAAAUGCUUAUUGUUGGCCCCUUUUUGGCCCCUAAUUCCUUAACUGUUGGUACCAUAACCCCCAAAAUCAAUCCCAACCUUCCUUUCAUGGUAUUGAACCUUAUGGUAAAAUUUCAUGGAGAUCCAUUCACUUAAACUAAAGUUAGAGUGCGAAAACCAAUGUGUCUUCGGACGACGCCAGACGACGCCGGACGACGACGACGACGACGCCAACGUCAUACCAAUAUACGACCAAAAAAUUUUCAAUUUUUGCGGUCGUAUAAAAACUAAU